ACAUAGUUUGUCUCGGCAUUACAAUGUGAGGUAAAGGAAGGAAAUAAAGCGAUGUUAGAAUAUUACAAUCAUAUAUCCGAACAUAUUUUAUGCAGUUGACCAAUGGUGUUGUUUCAUCGAUUUUUACUUCUCUAGAACCACCUGAUUUAUUGGCACAAUGCCUCGGAACAAGCACAGAAGCAAACCAAAUCAAACUGUAGCUGCAUCUACAAAGAAAAAUCAUUUCGCUCUUGAUGUGGCGAGCUUUAUCAAGUUCAAUUACGCAGUACACAUCAGGCAAAUCUGCAACCUCACAAACCACGAAUGAUGCAGCAAAAGCUCGUAAUCCAAAAUUGAUUGAGAUUUCUUAUUUUGGUUGGUUAGUUGCAUCAGUGACAAAUCUCUAGAGAUGUUGCAUAUUUUUGGACAAUUGUUGGAAAAUACCUUUAUAUUAUACCUUUCCGCUAAAAUUUGUAUUAUUUUGCAAAGUAGGCUCUGCGCUAGGUGGGGUUGUCAUCCUCCAUUAUUUAUGGCCAUGACAAAUGACAAUAUCAGGAUGCUAUUCAACUUUGACUUUUGUCGACAUGUGUUUUGAUGCUACUUCAAUUCUUUAGCGCAUCGCGAUGAGGCUGAUACUGUUGGUUGUACACUGAAGGUUGAAAAUGUUAACUGUUUUGAAUAGAGUAUUUCAAUAUAUUGGCACAGAUUAGCAACAAUACUUACUAUGGUAAUUACAAUGCCAUAAAAUUUCUGAAUUAUUAGAAUAUUUUGCACUAUUACACAUUAUUUAAUAAUCGGUGCAAUCUAAUGUUAAUCCACCUAAAUUUGAUAAUAGCUAAAAUUUCUAACAUGCCUCACGUCUUCAUGUUUCUAGCUUCAAAUUCUUAAAAACAAAUUGUUCUACAACUCUCUAUCUUGCUAGAAUGGACUUGUUACCCAUAUAUGUGUAUCUACCUGAGAGCAAACUUUACAUACUUAAAAAAUGUACCUUUUGUGGUUAGAAUCUAACUGUGUUUUUUGUUUAUAACGAUAGAUAAUUUCUGCCUGGAGCAGAAGGUUAUAGGGGUGGCCCAGAUAUCAUGGAGAGGCGCCGUGCUCGGUCCAGUAGGAGCUCCGGGUCAACACUGGGGCUGCGUGGUGGGCAUGAACCAUGGCGACUGCCUUCCGGCUUUAUUCUGUUGGCUCGUACAUUUGCCGCUGGCUAUUCUUACAGAAUCAUGAAUUAGACUUAGGAGAAUUGGCAAGUCAUCACAUGAAUUUUUUUAAACUAUGAGGUGCUACAGGUAAACAUGAUGAAUUCACACUUUUAAACUGCCUGGUGAUUUUUUAAAUCUCCAGGCAAUCAGAACAUAUGCAUUUUCUUUGUUUCUCGCUUCAUGUUUUGUCAUGGACUACAUGAGUUUCAUGUAUACCAGAAUGUUUUCAAACCUGUGAUUAACAAGUUCUUUUCCACUUCUAAAUUACAAAUAUCUUAUUGAUGCUACCAUAUUGUAGAGUGUACUUGAUGGUGAUAUUUUUUUACCUCUUAAAUGUUGAAAUUUAGUUAAUAUUCCUAUAUGUUGAAAGUAGUAAUAGUCCUUAGUUUUCAUAGUGGUUCAUGAUCUUGGUGGUGC
rnacentral:lncRNA from 1 species